rnacentral:rRNA from 1 species
AGUGAAUAGAUACCCAGGUAGUCCACGCCGUAAACGAUGAAUACUCGGUGUUGGUGGAUCGAUCCCACCAGUGCCUUAGCUAACGCGUUAAGUAUUCCGCCUGGGAAGUACGGUCGCAAGAUUAAAACUCAAAGGAAUAGACGGGGACCCACACAAGCGGUGGAGCAUGUUGUUUAAAUUCGACACAAAACGAGGAACCUUACCAAGGCUUGACAUCCUGAGAAUCCGCUGGAAGCAGUGGAGUGCCGCAAGGAACUCAGUGACAGGCGCUGCAUGGUUGUCGUCAGCUCGUGCCUUGAGGUGUUCGGUUAGGUCCGCGAACGAGCGCAACCCUUGUCUUAUGUUAUAUCUUUCAUAAGAGACUGCCCGUGUUAAACGGGAGGAAGGUGAGGAUGACGUCAAAUCAGCAUGGCCCUUAUGCCUUGGGCUACUAACGUGCUACAAUGGGGUGUACAAUGGGUAGCAAAGCGGUAACGCGAAGCCAAUCCCACCAAACGCAUCUCCAAGUUCGGAUUGAGGGCUGCAACUCGACCUC